ACGAACGCUGGCGGCGUGCCUAAUACAUGCAAGUUGAGCGCUGAAGGUUGGUACUUGUACCGACUGGAUGAGCAGCGAACGGGUGAGUAACGCGUGGGGAAUCUGCCUUUGAGCGGGGGACAACAUUUGGAAACGAAUGCUAAUACCGCAUAAAAACUUUAAACACAAGUUUUAAGUUUGAAGGAUGCAAUUGCAUCACUCAAAGAUGAUCCCGCGUUGUAUUAGCUAGUUGGUGAGGUAAAGGCUCACCAAGGCGAUGAUACAUAGCCGACCUGAGAGGGUGAUCGGCCACAUUGGGACUGAGACACGGCCCAAACUCCUACGGGAGGCAGCAGUAGGGAAUCUUCGGCAAUGGACGAAAGUCUGACCGAGCAACGCCGCGUGAGUGAAGAAGGUUUUCGGAUCGUAAAACUCUGUUGGUAGAGAAGAACGUUGGUGAGAGUGGAAAGCUCAUCAAGUGACGGUAACUACCCAGAAAGGGACGGCUAACUACGUG
rnacentral:rRNA from 1 species